rnacentral:tRNA from 1 species
GGAGGGGUCGCAUAGUGGUCUAGUGCGGCGGUCUUGAAAACCGCUAUAUCCGCAAGGGUAUCGAGGGUUCAAAUCCCUCCCCCUCCGCCA